rnacentral:lncRNA from 1 species
UUCACUUCCAGUAGGGCCAGGGUCUCCUGUUCUGUCAUCCUGGGGCCUCAGUUCUGGGAUCUACCACAAGGUCAUGUCAUCCUGCAGGGAGCAGAGGAAAGCUCUGUCAGAAACCCCUGUCUUCUAGUUAUUAGGACAGGUUGACAGAACUCAUACUCUCCAGGGCAACUGGCUUCAUGGGUUUUGGCCCCUUCUGGAGCCUUAGGGAGAACGUGGUACAGAGGAAGACACUGAAACAGAGGGAGGAGGGAAGGAAGUGAGCAGCUGAAAUGGAGGCACCCUUUCGACAUCAAAUGCCGUCCAACAGGAGAGGGGCCCUCCAAACCUUGCAGUUUGGACCCAUGACAUCCUCUUACUUUCCAUAUGGAGUGGAGGGUCCCCAGCGUCUGUCCAUCCGUCCGUCCGGGAAGGAGCUGCCCAGCUACC